rnacentral:rRNA from 1 species
UGGGGAAUAUUGGACAAUGGGCGAAAGCCUGAUCCAGCCAUGCCGCGUGUGUGAAGAAGGUCUUCGGAUUGUAAAGCACUUUAAGUGGGGAGGAAGGGCAUUAACCUAAUACGUUAGUGUUUUGACGUUACCGACAGAAUAAGCACCGGCUAACGCUGUGCCAGCAGCCGCGGUAAUACAGAGGGUGCAAGCGUUAAUCGGAAUUACUGGGCGUAAAGCGCGCGUAGGUGGUUUGUUAAGUUGGAUGUGAAAUCCCCGGGCUCAACCUGGGAACUGCAUUCAAAACUGACUGACUAGAGUAUGGUAGAGGGUGGUGGAAUUUCCUGUGUAGCGGUGAAAUGCGUAGAUAUAGGAAGGAACACCAGUGGCGAAGGCGACCACCUGGACUAAUACUGACACUGAGGUGCGAAAGCGUGGGGAGCAAACA